rnacentral:rRNA from 1 species
GAGUUUGAUCAUGGCUCAGAGCGAACGCUGGCGGCAGGCCUAACACAUGCAAGUCGAACGCCCCUUCGGGGGAGUGGCGGACGGGUGAGUAACGCGUGGGAAUGUGCCCUUUGGUACGGAACAACUGAGGGAAACUUCAGCUAAUACCGUAUGAGCCCUACGGGGGAAAGAUUUAUCGCCAUUGGAGCAGCCCGCGUUGGAUUAGGUAGUUGGUGGGGUAAUGGCCCACCAAGCCUACGAUCCAUAGCUGGUCUGAGAGGAUGAUCAGCCACACUGGGACUGAGACACGGCCCANACUCCUACGGGAGGCAGCAGUGGGGAAUCUUGCGCAAUGGGCGAAAGCCUGACGCAGCCAUGCCGCGUGUAUGAUGAAGGUCUUAGGAUUGUAAAAUACUUUCACCGGGGAAGAUAAUGACGGUACCCGGAGAAGAAGCCCCGGCUAACUUCGUGCCAGCAGCCGCGGUAAUACG